CGUGAGGGGAGAGCCAGAAGUAAUCCCAGAUGUGUUAGGAAUUCUGCAGAUGCUGGAAAUUCAAGCAACACACAUCAAAGUUGCUGGUGAACGCAGCAGGCCAGGCAGCAACUCUAGGAAGAGGACUCCACCUCCCACUCCUGCCAAAGCAGACUGAAUGAUCAUUACAUCCACCCCUCCACCCCUGACCCAG